GACGAACGCUGGCGGCGUGCUUAACACAUGCAAGUCGAGCGGUAAGGCCCUUUCGGGGGUACACGAGCGGCGAACGGGUGAGUAACACGUGGGUGACCUGCCCUCAGCUCUGGGAUAAGCCUGGGAAACCGGGUCUAAUACCGGAUAUGACUCCAUGACGCAUGUUGUGGGGUGGAAAGCCUUGUGCGGCUGAGGAUGGGCCCGCGGCCUAUCAGCUUGUUGGUGGGGUGAUGGCCUACCAAGGCGACGACGGGUAGCCGGCCUGNGAGGGCGACCGGCCACACUGGGACUGAGACACGGCCCAGACUCCUACGGGAGGCAGCAGUGGGGAAUCUUGCGCAAUGGGCGAAAGCCUGGACGCAGCGACGCCGCGUGAGGGAUGAC
rnacentral:rRNA from 1 species